rnacentral:rRNA from 1 species
CAGGCGAGAAACUUUGCAUGUGCGAAAGCACGACAAGGUUAAUCCGAGUGGUUUCUGCUAAAGAAACCUUUUGCUAGUCCUAGAAACACUAGUGAAUAAGGGGUGGGCAAGUUCUGGUGUCAGCCGCCGCGGUAAAACCAGCACCUCAAGUGGUCAGGAUGAUUAUUGGGCCUAAAGCAUCCGUAGCUCGUUUUGUAAGUUUUCGGUUAAAUCCAUACGCUUAACGUAUGGGCUGCCGGGAAUACUGCAUAACUAGGAAGUGGGAGAGGUAGACGGUACUCGGUAGGAAGGGGUAAAAUCCUUUGAUCUAUUGAUGACCACCUGUGGCGAAGGCGGUCUACCAGAACACGUUCGACGGUGAGGGAUGAAAGCUGGGGGAGCAAACCGGAUUAGAUACCCGGGUAGUCCCAGCUGUAAACUAUGCAAACUCAGUGAUGCAUUGGCUUGUGGCCAAUGCAGUGCUGCAGGGAAGCCGUUAAGUUUGCCGCCUGGGAAGUACGUACGCAAGUAUGAAACUUAA